UUGCUGUUGGGAAGGCGCCAAAAAUGCGAUCGCCCCCUCCUCCUACGUGUGCUGCAAACAAUUAUAGGCCACCGAAGCCUGGUGAGACGUCGGCGGGAUCAAACUACAACCACAGUGUGGCGCGCGGAUUCCAGUUCACAAACGAUGCGACGAGGGAAAACACAACCGCACUUGACAAAAGGAAAAAAAAUGUGGCGACUGUGGACAUAAGGCGCGUGAGUGCACGAACCAGGCAAAGUGUUUUCUCUGCGCUGCAAAUGGUAUGCACUCAAGCCACAUAGCCGGAAGCCAGCGAUGCCCUGCUGCAGCA